rnacentral:rRNA from 1 species
AACGAACGCUGGCGGCAGGCCUGACACAUGCAAGUCGAGCGGACCCUUCGGGGUUAGCGGCGGACGGGUUAGUAACGCGUGGGAACGUGCCCAAAGGUACGGAAUAGCCUCGGGAAACUGAGAGUAAUACCGUAUGUGCCCCUCGGGGGAAAGAUUUAUCGCCUUUGGAUCGGCCCGCGUUGGAUUAGGUAGUUGGUGGGGUAAUGGCCUACCAAGCCGACGAUCCAUAGCUGGUUUGAGAGGAUGAUCAGCAACACUGGGACUGAGACACGGCCCAGACUCCUACGGGAGGCAGCAGUGGGGAAUCUUAGACAAUGGGGGAAACCCUGAUCUAGCCAUGCCGCGUGGACGAUGAAGGCCUUAGGGUUGUAAAGUCCUUUCAGCUGGGAAGAUAAUGACGGUACCAGCAGAAGAAGCCCCGGCUAACUCCGUG